AGUACAGUACAACUCUCAAAUGCAAGAGCAAGAUGUAUUUCUGUCUCCAGGGGACACUGACAUAUUCACAAGAGAAGGAAGAAGGAUUCAGGAUUCUUUGCUUGUGGACUUCCUCUAUUGUUGACUUUUGAUCUAGAGGUUGGUGGAUCUGCUCCUGUCCUCCUAACUAGGACUUAAAGGACUGGGAAAGGACACUGGCAGCAGCAUCCAUUCAUUCCUGUAGAGAUUAGAAACAAGGAGCUUAUUGCCCUGCUUGCUCAAAGGCCUCAGGAGAGGAGACAGAGCAGGUCUAAAGGUUUUGGAGUUGGAAGGAACCUGCCUCCUCCUGGCCCUGUGUACAGAAGUACAGAAGCAGCACAAAGGAGCUGAAACAAAGUAUGCUUCAUUAUUGAAAGCACUGUUACCUGCAAUGUUCAGACUGUCAGAGAUGCCAGCGUUAAUCACUACCUAACAGCUUGUGAACUCCAGGGCAAUGAUGAAGAGAAUGAAAAGGGAGGUCAAGGCCACCCUUGCAAAUCCUGACAGCUUGGCUCAAGAAUGGUGGGAGUUGCUGAGGAAAGGGAAGUGAACAAUGGAUGAAGAAGCGAUCAUUUUUAACUGCUUAAGUGAAGGUCAAACAGGGCAAGAAGCUGAGAGUCAAGGAACCAGUUCACAAUUGUGUGAAGGACUGUGGCUCUGACACCAGGAGGUGGAAGUGAGCACACCCAGCCCAGCAUGCUGCACAGUGGGUGAGCUGGGGGGGCUGCUUGUAUCCAUGUUUUGGGAGUCCCAAGGGGUGGGUAAUUUGUGGCUGGGGCUGGUUUUCACUUUUCUGCUUUCCCUUGACUCUCCUAAACAUGAGUUCAAUAAACUUCAAUAACCUGCAAUUAACCAAUGUCUGCAUUGUGCUCCCCUGACCUGGGGGUGGGGAG